rnacentral:tRNA from 1 species
UGAGGCUUUAGCUUAAGUAAAGUGUUUGAGUUGCAUUCAGGAGAUGUGUUGUAGCUACACAGGCCUU